rnacentral:misc_RNA from 1 species
GAUGAAGAACGUAGCGAAAUGCGAUAAGUAAUGUGAAUUGCAGAAUUCAGUGAAUCAUCGAAUCUUUGAACACACAUUGCGCCCGCUGGUAUUCCGGCGGGCAUGCCUGUUCGAGCGUCAUUUCAACCCUCAAGCUCUCCGGAGUUUGGUGUUGGGGCGCCUGGGGCUUUUCGACCUCAGGGCCCUCAAGUCCAUCGGCGGGACCGCCAGGACACUGAGCGCAGUAGUAUUAUUUCGCUCGGUAGGAUCUUCCACGGCGGGUCGAACUGGCCGCUAAACCCCCCAAUUCUCACCAAAGGUUGACCUCGGAUCAGGUAGGAAUACCCGCUGAACUUAAGCAUAUCAAUAAGCGGAGGA